rnacentral:rRNA from 1 species
GGUUAAGUUAGAAAGGGCGCACGGUGGAUGCCUUGGCACUAGGAGCCGAAGAAGGACGGGACUAACACCGAUAUGCUUUGGGGAGCUGUACGUAAGCGUUGAUCCAGAGAUUUCCGAAUGGGGGAACCCACUAUCUUUAGUCGGAUAGUAUCCUUACGUGAAUACAUAGCGUGAGGAAGGCAGACCCAGGGAACUGAAACAUCUAAGUACCUGGAGGAAGAGAAAGAAAAAUCGAUUUCCUGAGUAGCGGCGAGCGAAACGGAAAGAGCCCAAACCAAGAAGCUUGCUUCUUGGGGUUGUAGGACACUCUAUACGGAGUUACAAAAGAAAGUUAUAAAUGAAGCGGUCUGGAAAGGCCCGCCAAAGACGGUAACAGCCCGGUAGUUGAAAUGGCUUUCCCUCCAGAGUGGAUCCUGAGUACGGCGGAACACGUGAAAUUCCGUCGGAAUCCGGGAGGACCAUCUCCCAAGGCUAAAUACUCCCUAGUGACCGAUAGUGAACCAGUACCGUGAGGGAAAGGUGAAAAGCACCCCGGAAGGGGAGUGAAACAGUUCCUGAAACCGUGUGCCUACAAGUAGUUAGAGCCCGUUAAUGGGUGAUAGCGUGCCUUUUGUAGAAUGAACCGGCGAGUUACGAUUUGUUGCAAGGUUAAGCGGAAAAAGCGGAGCCGUAGCGAAAGCGAGUCUGAAUAGGGCGCAUAAGUAACAGGUCGUAGACCCGAAACCAGGUGAUCUACCCAUGUCCAGGAUGAAGGUAAGGUAAUACUUACUGGAGGUCCGAACCCACGCACGUUGAAAAGUGCGGGGAUGAGGUGUGGGUAGCGGAGAAAUUCCAAUCGAACUUGGAGAUAGCUGGUUCUCUCCGAAAUAGCUUUAGGGCUAGCCUCGAGGUAAAGAGUCAUGGAGGUAGAGCACUGUUUGGACUAGGGGCCCUUCUCGGGUUACCGAAUUCAGAUAAACUCCGAAUGCCAUGUACUUAUACUCGGGAGUCAGACUGCGAGUGAUAAGAUCCGUAGUCGAAAGGGAAACAGCCCAGACCACCAGUUAAGGUCCCCAAAUAUAUGUUAAGUGGAAAAGGAUGUGGGGUUGCUUAGACAACCAGGAUGUUGGCUUAGAAGCAGCCACCAUUGAAAGAGUGCGUAAUAGCUCACUGGUCGAGUGACCCCGCGCCGAAAAUGUACCGGGGCUAAACAUAUUACCGAAACUGUGGAUGAACCUCUUUAGAGGUUCGUGGUAGGAGAGCGUUCUAAGGGCGGUGAAGUCAGACCGGAAGGACUGGUGGAGCGCUUAGAAGUGAGAAUGCCGGUAUGAGUAGCGAAAGAAGGGUGAGAAUCCCUUCCACCGAAUAUCUAAGGUUUCCUGAGGAAGGCUCGUCCGCUCAGGGUUAGUCGGGACCUAAGCCGAGGCCGAUAGGCGUAGGCGAUGGACAACAGGUAGAGAUUCCUGUACCAGUGCUAAUUGUUUAACCGAUGGGGUGACACAGAAGGAUAGGGAAUCGCACGAAUGGAAAUGUGCGUCCAAGCAGUGAGUGUGAGAAGUAGGCAAAUCCGCUUCUCGCGAAGCAUGAGCUGUGAUGGGGAAGGAAAUUAAGUACGGAAGUUCCUGAUUUCACGCUGUCAAGAAAAGCCUCUAGGAAG